rnacentral:sRNA from 1 species
CGUGUGAUAUAAUAAUGAAAGUAGAAGUUUAUGGACGGUAGCCCAACUGGGAGGUGAUGCUUAUGAAAAAUUGUAGGCGAUAACCUCACAAUGCAGAAAGGCGACAAUUUUUCUUGUCAACUUAUGAAACCUUGACACUCAUGAUUGCAUUUGCAUUAUUAGUGCUCAAAGUUUAC